rfam:Brassica oleracea var. oleracea cultivar TO1000 chromosome C8, whole genome shotgun sequence
GGCAUAUAAGAAUCCGUUUCUUAACUUUUAACUAAAAAAGUUAAGAACCGGUUCUUAAAACUCUUAUUUAAGAACCGAUUCUUAGCUUUUUUAGUUAAAAGUUAAGAGACGGGUUCUUAUAUUCC